rnacentral:rRNA from 1 species
AGUCACUGACAUUAGAUACCCGUGUAGUCCAGGGUGUAAACGCUGCAGACUUGGUGUUGGAGGCCCUUUGGGGGCAUUCAGUGCCGGAGAGAAGUUGUUAAGUCUGCUACUUGGGGAGUACGUCCGCAAGGAUGAAACUUAAAGGAAUUGGCGGGGGAGCACCGCAACGGGAGGAGCGUGCGGUUUAAUUGGAUUCAACACCGUAAACUCACCAGGGAAGACUGUUACAUGAAGGCCGAGAUGAAGACUCUGCCAGAUUUUCAG